rnacentral:rRNA from 1 species
GAUGAACGCUAGCGACAGGCUUAACACAUGCAAGUCGAGGGGCAGCAUGAACUUAGCUUGCUAAGUUUGAUGGCGACCGGCGCACGGGUGAGUAACGCGUAUGCAACUUGCCUAUCAGAGGAGAAUAGCUCAUCGAAAGAUGAAUUAAUGCUCCAUGAAACAGGGGUCCCGCAUGGGAAUAUUUGUUAAAGAUUCAUCGCUGAUAGAAAGGCAUGCGUUCCAUUAGGCAGUUGGCGGGGUAACGGCCCACCAAACCGACGAUGGAGAGGGGUUCUGAGAGGAAGGUACACCAGAUUGGUACUGAGACACGGACCAAAAUCCUACGGGAGGCAGCAGUGAGGAAUAUUGGUCAAUGGACGAGAGGCGGAACCAGCCAAGUCGCGUGAAGGAAGAAGGGGAUAUGGUUUGUAAACUUCUUUUAUACGGGAAUAAAGUGUGGAACGCGUCCCAUUUUGUAGGUACCGUAUGAAUAAGCAACGGCUAACUCCGUG